rnacentral:rRNA from 1 species
GUAGGUGGCAAGCGUUGUCCGGAAUUAUUGGGCGUAAAGCGCGCGCAGGCGGUCCUUUAAGUCUGAUGUGAAAGCCCACGGCUCAGCCGUGGAGGGUCAUUGGAAACUGGGGGACUUGAGUACAGAAGAGGAAAGCGGAAUUCCAAGUGUAGCGGUGAAAUGCGUAGAGAUUUGGAGGAACACCAGUGGCGAAGGCGGCUUUCUGGUCUGUAACUGACGCUGAGGCGCGAAAGCGUGGGGAGCAAACAGGGAUUAGAUACCCUGGUAGUCCACGCCGUAAACGAUGAGUGCUAAGUGUUAGGGGGUUUCCCGCCCCUUAGUGCUGCAGCUAACGCAUUAAGCACUCCGCCUGGGGAGUACGGCCGCAAGGCUG